rnacentral:rRNA from 1 species
ACGGAUAACAUACCGAAAGGUACGCUAAUACGGGAUAAUAUAUUUGAGAGGCAUCUCUUAAAUAUCAAAGGUGAGCCAGUACAGGAUGGACCCGCGUCUGAUUAGCUAGUUGGUAAGGUAACGGCUUACCAAGGCGACGAUCAGUAGCCGACCUGAGAGGGUGAUCGGCCACAUUGGAACUGAGACACGGUCCAAACUCCUACGGGAGGCAGCAGUGGGGAAUAUUGCACAAUGGGCGAAAGCCUGAUGCAGCAACGCCGCGUGAGUGAUGAAGGCCUUCGGGUCGUAAAACUCUGUCCUCAAGGAAGAUAAUGACGGUACUUGAGGAGGAAGCCCCGGCUAACUACGUGCCAGCAGCCGCGGUAAUACGUAGGGGGCUAGCGUUAUCCGGAUUUACUGGGCGUAAAGGGUGCGUAGGCGGUCUUUCAAGUCAGGAGUGAAAGGCUACGGCUCAACCGUAGUAAGCUCUUGAAACUGGGAGACUUGAGUGCAGGAGAGGAGAGUGGAAUUCCUAGUGUAGCGGUGAAAUGCGUAGAUAUUAGGAGGAACACCAGUUGCGAAGGCGGCUCUCUGGACUGUAACUGACGCUGAGGCACGAAAGCGUGGGGAGCAAACAGGAUUAGAUACCCUGGUAGUCCACGCUGUAAACGAUGAGUACUAGGUGUCGGGGGUUACCCCCCUCGGUGCCGCAG